rnacentral:lncRNA from 1 species
GAUCUGCAUUUGCUUGGUUAUACCAAUAAAUCAGCUGUCCUAAGCAAUAAUUCUCGCCAUAUGUCUUGCGAUACUCGUGAACACCAGGCCCCAGCUUAUCAGCAUAUUUGGGUCCCAGGUCUAAAGGACUUAUAUGUACAGGAGGUGAAGUUACAGUCUUGUAUUCCUGCAAAGAGAGAAGAUGUCUAAAGGACUUAUAUAUACAGGAGGUGAAGUUACAGUCUUGUAUUCCUGCAAAGAGAGAAGAUAUACAGGUCAAAACCAACACAAUGUCCAGUUAAAUGAUAUGCAAAAGAAGUUUCGAUAGG